UACGAAGGGGGCGAGCGUUGUUCGGAAUUACUGGGCGUAAAGGGCGCGCAGGCGGUCCUUCAAGUCAGAUGUGAAAGCCCCGGGCUCAACCUGGGAACUGCAUUUGAGACUGGGGGACUUGAGGACGGGAGAGGAGAGUGGAAUUCCCAGUGUAGAGGUGAAAUUCGUAGAUAUUGGGAAGAACACCGAUGGCGAAGGCAGCUCUCUGGACCGUUACUGACGCUGAGGCGCGAAAGCGUGGGGAGCAAACAGG
rnacentral:rRNA from 1 species